UACGUAGGGGGCAAGCGUUGUCCGGAAUCAUUGGGCGUAAAGCGUCCGCAGGUGGCAGUUCAAGUCUGCUGUCAAAGACCGGGGCUUAACUUCGGAAAGGCAGUGGAAACUGAACAGCUAGAGUAUGGUAGGGGCAGAGGGAAUUCCUGGUGUAGCGGUGAAAUGCGUAGAGAUCAGGAAGAACAUCGGUGGCGAAGGCGCUCUGCUGGACCAUAACUGACACUCAGGGACGAAAGCUAGGGGAGCGAAUGGG
rnacentral:rRNA from 1 species